ACAAUUAAAAAAAUAGUGCUUCAUAUAAUUUUGGAAAUAUGGUCCAGAAGUCUCUACUAAAUCACCGUGAAUGAUUUAACUAUGAAGGCAGUGUGAUUCUAU
rfam:Bacillus sporothermodurans strain B4102 NODE_162, whole genome shotgun sequence.